rnacentral:lncRNA from 1 species
UAAAAUAAUAGUAUAAGCAGAUCACUCAUGUUUGACAUGCAUAACUAGAUGAGGACUUUUAAAACUAGUUAUGUCUCUCACUAUUUUAUCAGAUACCAUAGCCCUCUCCUAUGGUAAAUGAGAUAUAUUUUAUAUUUAUCUUAGUGAAAUUGAGAUCCUAAUUCCUCAUAACGAUCUUAUGUUAACACAACAAACCCUUAUGAGUUCAUAGGUAGG